AAAUUGAAGAGUUUGAUCAUGGCUCAGAUUGAACGCUGGCGGCAGGCCUAACACAUGCAAGUCGAACGGUAGCACAGAGAGCUUGCUCUCGGGUGACGAGUGGCGGACGGGUGAGUAAUGUCUGGGAAACUGCCUGAUGGAGGGGGAUAACUACUGGAAACGGUGGCUAAUACCGCAUAACGUCGCAAGACCAAAGAGGGGGACCUUCGGGCCUCUUGCCAUCAGAUGUGCCCAGAUGGGAUUAGCUUGUUGGUGAGGUAACGGCUCACCAAGGCGACGAUCCCUAGCUGGUCUGAGAGGAUGACCAGCCACACUGGAACUGAGACACGGUCCAGACUCCUACGGGAGGCAGCAGUGGGGAAUAUUGCACAAUGGGCGCAAGCCUGAUGCAGCCAUGCCGCGUGUAUGAAGAAGGCCUUCGGGUUGUAAAGUACUUUCAGCGGGGAGGAAGGUGUUGCGGUUAAUAACC
rnacentral:rRNA from 2 species